UUCAGAGCACAAGUGGCUCUUCAAGCCUCCAAUUGCCUGGCAUAACAGUGUUGGUAUACCUUCAAAGUUCAAUAUUUACUUAGUGCUGAUGGCAUACCUACACCCUGAGUUAUGUCUGUGUUUUAGUGGUUCUUCAGUAUAUCUCUUCAGACUGCCACUGAAUGAGCUAAUCGUCUGACCAAACUCAGAGACCUAGAGCAUGGCUGUUUAUGUUUAAGCAGGUCACCCAAGGUUCCUGCUGUAAAAAUUUUAAACAUACAAGUCAUCUCAUUCCAAGGUAGACAUGUGAACAGUCAGAUGAUUUGCAUCCUAGAUGUGUUAUUCUGAGCUGAAAUACAAGCAAGAAGAAUCCCACCCACUGAAACAGAGGGGGACAAGGAAGCUGAUGCCCUUUGCUUAAGGUGAUGGAGCUGACAACAUGAAGGUGGGGAAAAGGGACAGCAGUACUUGCUUCAGUCUGAGUCUCAGUCUAAGCUCAUAAGAAAACAACAUGAAAACAUGGAUUAAGCACAGAGCAAUGCCCACCGUAUCACCAGGUGAAGGAGAAAAUCAAAAUGAAAACCAGAGGCCUGUUCCUGCCAACUUCUGCUCCGCUAAACCAUCCCAUCGAUUGCAACAGAACAACGGAAAUGUCUAAGAAUAAUCCACAUGAGCAAAGUUUAGGAAUGCCAGCUAC